GAAUCGGAGGAUGACAGAGGAGUAGGAGAGAGAGGAGAAGACAGACAGAAUGGGAGACAGAACAAAGAGCUGGAUGCUGGCCACCCAGCUGGUUGCAUGGAAUCUACAGAGAUGACUCAGACUGUGCAAAAUCAAAGCAAUGGGGAGGGGAUGGAGGAGAGAGGAGAGGAGAGAAGUAGAAAGAAGAGGAGAGAAGUAGAAAGAAGAGGAGAGAGAGAGAGAGAGAGAGAGAGAGAGAGAGAGAGAGAGAGAACAGAGAGACAACAUUCUACAACUAGGAGUAGACUGGG
rnacentral:lncRNA from 1 species